rnacentral:rRNA from 1 species
ACUAUGCCCAGCCAUAAACCUUGAUACUUCCAUACAAUUAGUAUCCGCCAGGGAACUACGAGCACCAGCUUAAAACCCAAAGGACUUGGCGGUGCCUCAGAUCCCCCUAGAGGAGCCUGUUCUAGAACCGAUAACCCCCGUUAAACCUCACCACUUCUUGCCUAUUCCGCCUAUAUACCACCGUCGCCAGCUUACCCUGUGAAGGGAAAAAAGUAAGCAAAAUGGAAACUUUCCAAAACGUCAGGUCGAGGUGUAGCACACGAAGUGGGAAGAAAUGGGCUACAUUACCUGACACAGGAUAUUCACGGAAAGUCACCUGAAACGGUAAUUCAAAGGUGGAUUUAGCAGUAAAAGAGGAAUAGAGUGCCCCUUUGAAGCCGGCUCUGAGGCGCGCAC